AUUGAACGCUGGCGGCAUGCUUUACACAUGCAAGUCGGACGGCAGCACAGAGAAGCUUGCUUCUUGGGUGGCGAGUGGCGAACGGGUGAGUAAUAUAUCGGAACGUACCGAGUAAUGGGGGAUAACUAAUCGAAAGAUUAGCUAAUACCGCAUAUUCUCUGAGGAGGAAAGCAGGGGACCUUCGGGCCUUGCGUUAUUCGAGCGGCCUAUAUCUGAUUAGCUAGUUGGUGGGGUAAAGGCCUACCAAGGCGACGAUCAGUAGCGGGUCUGAGAGGAUGAUCCGCCACACUGGGACUGAGACACGGCCCAGACUCCUACGGGAGGCAGCAGUGGGGAAUUUUGGACAAUGGGCGCAAGCCUGAUCCAGCCAUGCCGCGUGUCUGAAGAAGGCCUUCGGGUUGUAAAGGACUUUUGUCAGGGAAGAAAAGGCUGUUGCUAAUAUCAAUAGCUGAUGACGGUACCUGAAGAAUAAGCACCGGCUAACUACGUG
rnacentral:rRNA from 1 species